rnacentral:RNase_P_RNA from 1 species
GCGAGCUGGUGCACGAUACACUGUUACGGCAGAGGAAACUACUCCCUCCAUGCAGGAUAUGUGUUCCGGAGACGGAUAGUCAGAGAUGGCUGGCAACAGAAUAGAAAAUAAUCCCACCUGGAGUACAAUGAUGGCAAAACCUGAGGUUUCCAGAGAAGGAAUGAAAAAUCUGACCCACAUGGAGCAAGGCCAAACAGAACUAUAGGUUCCUGCACUUGGUUCAGGUAGGCUGCAAAGCGAAAUAUCGUAAAAACAGAAGGAGAGUUACGGCCAGCACGC